rnacentral:tRNA from 1 species
GGUUCCUUGGUCUAGCGGUUAAGAUCCUCGACUUUCUCUCGAGGGACAUGGGUUCGAGUCCCGUAGGGAUCA